GUGGACAGUGUGAGAGAGAGAGACAGACAGAAAGGACUUCCUUUUUGCGGUUGUUUCACCCUCCAACAGCCGCUGCAGCCAGCGCACUGCGGCUGGCGCACCACACUGAUCCGAAGCCAGGAGCCAGGUGCUUCUCCUGGUCUCCCAUGCAGGUGCAGGGCCCAAGGGCUUGGGUGAUCCUCCACUGCACUCCCGGGCCACAGCAGAGAACUGGACUGGAAGAGGUGCAAGCAGGACAGAAAUCCAGCUCCUGGACCGGGACUAGAUCCCCGUGUGCUGGCACCACAGGUGGAGAAUUAGCCUAUUGAGCCGCAGUGCCGGCCUUAUAUUCUAAUUUUAUAUUUGCUCUAUUUCAUUGUUAUUUCAGGAACUGUGAAGGGAGUGCAUGGUGAUUUUUUCUAUUUUUUAUUUUCUGGGAUUUUUUCUUAGCUCUGGUGUCUUAUUGACUCACUUUUCUUGAGCAUUGUGGUUAUCUUCUCCUUAGUUAUCAAAGAUAGCAAUAGCCCUGAUCUCUUUUUAAGCAAGAAAAGAAAAGCAUUAAAAGACAGAGCAUGUAGUUCACUUGGUCAGAUGACUUUCCUGACCUCCUGUGGUUUGUCUUGGUCUUUGCUGUACAAUUCUCUUUCCUCAUUAAUUUCUUCAUCUUCCCAUUACUCAGCAAAAGAGUGAUUCCACAGCCAUUUUCCUGUAUUGAUUGGGACUCAGAGUAAGUAAGACGAAAAGUGGAGGGGUUCAAGAAGCUAAUGUUAAAUGCUGUGUAGGUAAAAGAUUCUGGGAAAUUCUCUAAACAAGCAGAUUAUUCCAUAUGUUAAGUUACUGGGACUGUAAGUAACUGUAGAAUCUUCUGCACAGUAUAUCAGGUGCUGUACUAUCAUGAUCUGUAUGAUAAGAUGUAAAAGCACUUAUUUUCUGUGUGUCUGUAUAUAAAUAAAUUCUGAUAGCUCAAUUAAAAUUCACAUAUUUUACAGAAUUACUUCAUCCAUUUCUUUUAAUUUAAAGAAACAUCAUUUUGGGGGUUGGCGCUGUGGCUCAAUGGGUUGACACCCUGGCCUGGAGCACCGACAUACCACAUAGGCAUAGGUUCUAGUCCCAGCUUCUCUUCUUCUGAUCCAGCUCUCUGCUGUGGCCUGAGAUGGCAGUGGAGGACAGUCCAAGUCCUUAGGCCCCUGUACCCACAUGGGAGACCCAUAGGAGGCUCCUGUCUCCUGGCUUUGGAUUGGCACAGCUCUGGCCAUUGUGGUCAUCUGGGGAGUGAGCCAACGGAUGGAAGACCUCUCUCUCUGUCUCUACCUCUCUCUGUGUCCCUGUCUUUCAAAUAAAUAGAAUAAAUCUUAAAAGAAAGAGAAAUAUCAUUUUCACUUUUAUGGAAAGGGGAAUAACUGCUGUACAAUGAAAAGGAAAUUCCCUCAUCAAUAAAACUUAAAAAUAUUCAGAAAUCAUUUACUGGAAUAUAGUAUGUUCUUAUGUGUUUGAUUAUAGAUGACACAAAUACACUAUCUAUAUUCUGUUUUGGUUAAAAUUUCUGCAUGUGUGACUUCAUUUUUUCCUUAUAACCCCAAUUCUUUUAGUAUCAUAAGAUGGAAAAUGAGUUCUAUAUAGGCCCCAAUAUAGGUUAUUAUUGGCAAGGACUUGUUUAGUUUUCCUGCUCUAAAUAUUCAAAUGUUAUAACUUUAGAAAGAAAUAUAUUUAUUUACUAUACUAAUGCCUUUCUAAAAAUUUUGUAAAUCUCUAUCUUCCUUUGUAUAUACUGAUAAUACUUCUGUUACGCUGCUGGAAUUUACAGUUGUGUGUAAUGCUGAAGAACUGAAACUGUCUUGUUCACAGCUUACAGGACUGAGCAUGGCAACUUUACUGGAAGCAAGUGACCAUAGGAUUACCAUUUAAGGCAGUAUUAGCCUCCAUCUUUGAAGCCUGACACCAUUUUACUGAUGCUGGAAGAAGAAAUGGGAAAUUUCUAACAGAAGUCUGUAUUUAAUGUCAUUAGCUUUGGUAGAACACUACUAAAUAUAUAAUUAAUAUUUUAAGUUAUAACAAUUGUAAAACAUAAAAAUAAAAAUACUAUACCCUUAGGUUAAAUGAAUUGGGAUAAAUAAGUGCAUUUCCUCUAGCUACCUCCCCUAUACCUGUAGAGAUUAGCAUUAGGACAUUUAAGAAGCCAUAUUGUGCUGGAGCAGAGAGAAGAGGAAAGAAACAAACAGAAGUCAGGAGAUGUUAAUAGUUUUGGAUGUUGGGAGGAACAGCUAAACAG